GAGCGGCCUAUCUCCUAUCAGCUAGUUGGUGAGGUAACGGCCCACCAAGGCGAUGACGGGUAGCGGGACUGAGAGGUUGGCCCGCCACAUCGGAACUGAGAUACUGUCCGGACCCCCACGGGGGGCUGCAGUAACGGAUAUUGGGCAAUGGGCGAAAGCCUGACCCAGCGACGCCGCGUGCGGGAGGAAGUCCUUCGGGAUGUAAACCGCUGUCAGGGGUAUGAAAGUCCACUUCGGUGGAUUGAUCUAACCCAGAGGAAGUCACGGCUAACUCUGUGCCAGCAGCCGCGGUAAGACAGAGGUGGCUAGCGUUGUUCGGUAUCACUGGGCUUAAAGCGUGUGUAGGCGGAAGCGUAAGCAUUUUGUGAAAUCCCUCGGCUUAACCGAGGCAUUGCUUGAUGUACUGCGUUUCUUGAGGCAGGUAGGGGUGCGAGGAACUCUUGGUGGAGCGGUGGAAUGCGUAGAUAUCAAGAGGAACGCCGGUGGUGAAGACGUUGCACUGGGCCUGUCCUGACGCUGAGACACGAAAGCGUGGGGAGCGAACGGGAUUAGAUACCCCGGUAGUCCACGCCGUAAA
rnacentral:rRNA from 1 species